AUGAACGCUGGCGGCGUGCCUAAUACAUGCAAGUCGAGCGAACAGAUGAGGAGCUUGCUCCUCUGACGUUAGCGGCGGACGGGUGAGUAACACGUGGAUAACCUACCUAUAAGACUGGGAUAACUUCGGGAAACCGGAGCUAAUACCGGAUAAUAUAUUGAACCGCAUGGUUCAAUAGUGAAAGACGGUUUUGCUGUCACUUAUAGAUGGAUCCGCGCCGCAUUAGCUAGUUGGUAAGGUAACGGCUUACCAAGGCGACGAUGCGUAGCCGACCUGAGAGGGUGAUCGGCCACACUGGAACUGAGACACGGUCCAGACUCCUACGGGAGGCAGCAGUAGGGAAUCUUCCGCAAUGGGCGAAAGCCUGACGGAGCAACGCCGCGUGAGUGAUGAAGGACUUCGGAUCGUAAAACUCUGUUAUUAGGGAAGAACAAAUGUGUAAGUAACUAUGCACGUCUUGACGGUACCUAAUCAGAAAGCCACGGCUAACUACGUG
rnacentral:rRNA from 1 species